CAUAAAAACAACGCCACGUUUUAUUGAAUCCUUCUUAUCGAGCGAACAAUACAAGUAUGAACCAUCUGUUCCUCUGUAGAUGACCCAUGUAAAGAGUAAAAAUAUCA